GGGCGCUUAGCUCAGCGGUAGAGCGUCGCCCUUACAAGGCGAGGGUCGUAGGUUCGAUCCCUACAGCGCCCACCA
rnacentral:tRNA from 4 species